rnacentral:tRNA from 1 species
CGAGUAGUGGCGUAAUGGUAUCGCAGGGGAUUGCUAAUCCCUCCAGCAUGUUGAUCCGUGCUGUCCCAGUUCGAAUCUGGGCUACUCGG